rnacentral:rRNA from 1 species
UACGUAGGGGGCUAGCGUUGUCCGGAUUUAUUGGGCGUAAAGAGCGUGUAGGCGGUCUGUCGCGUCUGCUGUGAAAAUCCGGGGCUCAACCCCGGACUUGCAGUGGGUACGGGGCAGACUAGAGUGUGGUAGGGGAGACUGGAAUUCCUGGUGUAGCGGUGAAAUGCGCAGAUAUCAGGAGGAACACCGAUGGCGAAGGCAGGUCUCUGGGCCGAUACUGACGCUGAGGAGCGAAAGCGUGGGGAGCAAACAGG